UGGUCAGUCUACUCUGCCGGCAAACAGAUGUUGGGGUGGGGGCAGGUGAGGUGCUCUGCCCUCUGCUUCAUCCCUGCCUUCUGCCCUUACCCCUAAGAUCCACCAGGAUGGCAUAAGUGAAGAAGGAGAGAGGAAGAGCCUCAGGCUGGGACACUCUGGCUGCUACCAGGCUCCAGCAUGGGGAAUUUUAACCUCCGUGAAGCCUGCUGGACUGCUGUCUCAAGACCAGGUGGUGAUAAAGCUCACAACGGCUGCUGACGGUCUUCCGGCCCCGUGAUGAUGUCUGCUUUGUUCUUGGUCUCUUUCAGGAAUAUUUCAAUGCGUGUUUUGCUACCCCACCCCCAAUCCAGGACACUGCAACCUGUCAUGAAUGAAGAGUGGCUGGUCACAUGGCCCGGUCACCAUGGCGACGGAUCCCCGCAGACGAGG
rnacentral:lncRNA from 1 species